rnacentral:tRNA from 1 species
GGGGCCAUAGCUCAGAUGGGAGAGCGCCUGCUUUGCACGCAGGAGGUCGGCGGUUCGAUCCCGCCUGGCUCCACCA